UGCUGCUUGUUUUGGUUAAGGGCAUAGGCCCUAGCAUUCUGUGGCUGUCCCCGUUGUCCUCCAGGGCCCUGAUUUUGUCGCUGUUGAUUUCUGGGGUUUUGCUGUUGAGGUGCUCCUCCGUUCUUCUUCGGACAUACUGAAGCAUAGUGCCCAGUUUCCCCACAUCUAUAGCAUAUAUUCAUUCCUUUCAGGCAUUCCCCUGAAUGAGGUCGCUGACACUUUAGGCAGAGUGGUCGUCCCAUUGCUUGCGGCUGUUGAUUCUGACGUUGAUUCUGAUUUUGGUUAGCAGCCCACGGCUUCUUUCCAUUUCCAUUCCCGGUAUGUACUUCUCGUAUAAUUCAGUCUUGAAAUCUUCCCAAGUGAAAUUUUCCCACUGUUCCUCAGUCAUUGUGCGCCUCACAGAUUCCCACCAGAAGUCGGCUUCGUCCACCAGUUGGUAGGUUGCACAAGUUACUUUGUCUUCGUCCUCGCAACGGAUGUAGUUAAAGAUACGCUCUAUGGCCCUAAUCCACUUUUCGGCGUCUGUUGGAUCGCCCAGCCCGUCAAAUGUUGGAGGUUUUUC
rnacentral:lncRNA from 1 species